rnacentral:lncRNA from 1 species
UGUGAUAAGGAGAAGAAGAAGAAGAAGAAGAAGAAGAAGAAGAAGAAGAAGAAGUCUCGUGAAAGUUUCAUAAUCUACUGCAACUUAUACACAGUAAUGAUUAAUACAACUAUUGGAAUACAAACAAGGAGUAGGAUUAUAAUACUUGUAAAAGUAUCAUGGGGGUGAUACUUGUGUGUUUUUAGCCCUUGGAUGGAGAGAUGUG